GUCCUUUUGAUUAUAAUUUAAGGUCUAGCCUGCCCAAUGAUGUAAAUUUAAUGGCCGCAGUAUACUGACUGUGCAAAGGUAGCAUAAUCAUUAGUUUUUUAAUUGAAAGCUUGUAUGAAAGGUUUGAUGAAAAAAAAAUUGUCUCUAGGUAAAGGUUUUGAAAUUUAUUUUUAAGUUAAAAAGCUUAAAUUAAUAUUGAAGACGAGAAGACCCUAUAGAGUUUUAUUUAUAUUAGUAAUAAAUUAAGUUUUAGAAUUUUAAAUUUGUAUUAUUAAGUAAAUUUAGUUGGGGUGAUUGAAAAAUUUAUUAAACUUUUUUUUUAUUUGAACAUUUAUUUAUGAGUUUAUGAUCCUUUUUAAGAUUAUAAGAUAAAAUUACCUUAGGGAUAACAGCGUAAUUUUUUUUAGAGUUCUUAUCGAAAAAAAAGAUUGCGACCUCGAUGUUGGAUUAAAAUUAAAUUUUUGGUGUAGAAGCUAAAAAAUUAGGUCUGUUCGACCUUUAAAUUUUUACAUGAUCUGAGUUUAAACCGGCGUAAG
rnacentral:rRNA from 1 species